UACGGGGGGGGCAAGCGUUGUUCGGAAUUACUGGGCGUAAAGGGCUCGUAGGCGGCCAAUUAAGUCAGACGUGAAAUCCCUCGGCUUAACCGGGGAACUGCGUCUGAUACUGGAUGGCUAGAGGUUGGGAGAGGGAUGCGGAAUUCCAGGUGUAGCGGUGAAAUGCGUAGAUAUCUGGAGGAACACCGGUGGCGAAGGCGGCAUCCUGGACCAAUUCUGACGCUGAGGAGCGAAAGCCAGGGGAGCAAACGGG
rnacentral:rRNA from 1 species